AAAAGGCAGCAUGGAAAACUGCUAAUGCCGUGAUCUUUAGAGCACUGCAGGCAGAUGUCAGCUUUGGUGAGCUAUUUCCUUCUGCAAACAAUCUGGUCGAUGAGCUGUGUUUGGCUGUCUACAGUGCACAGAACACACAGCCCUGGGAAAACAUUAAGGGUUAAAGUGACUGAGGUCACCACUCUACUGAUGACUAUUUUUGUCACUAAUAAAAUGCCAGAGAGCCACUAACAACCCAAAAGGACAGCAGCCCACAGACUUGAAUUCCUGCAUUUCUUGCUGCUUCCAGAUGAAUGGAGCAAUGGUGCUGAAAACGUCAGGACCAGGAGUUUUAACGGAGAGUUCCCACUGCAAUAUCAGAGACUCCUCAGGACAGCCACAAACUCAACCAGUGCAGCUUCACUGCACUCCUGUUUUAACCUCUCCUGGAGUCUCAUGACAAAAUCAAGCUCAUGUUGGCUGUAGAUGGAGCAACACCAGAUAACAAACCAGUUCAAAAGGGAGUAGGUGAACUUACCCCCUCAUGGUACCUCAUUAUGAUAAUACUGAGAAGAGGGGAAAAAAAAAAAAGAAAAAACAAACACCAGAAAAAUCCAGUCUGAUCACCUUUGAAUAAAGGACUAUAUACAAAACACUUCUCUUCCUCAAGACAGGAUCUCUCUACAGGAUCCUCAUUUCGUCCUGCCUAUUGUAAAAAAAAAAAAAAAAAGAAAGUAGGGGGGAAAAAAAAG